CGGGCUGUUCAGCAGCGGGGCCACUCCGGGCUGAGCGGCUUUAGUAAGCGCCCCUCCCCAGCCCAGGCGGACAGGUUGCCCCUAACCCGGAAUGAUUCGGAUCUGCUUCAACUGCCAGACUCUACUCAACUCAACGAUCCACCAAGUUUCCACAUAUUCUUACUGUACCUCCAGGAAGGAUGAAGAAUCACUGUACUAGACGUUACUGUGAAGAUUUUCAUUCAAACUCCCCACAGUUCACUCGAGUUGAAGAGGAGCUCCUUAAGUAACAUCCUACCACCAAAAUGUUCAUGCUACACAUGACAAUGCAAAGAAACAUGCUGGCAAUGGAAUCCUUAGGACCUGGCAGAAUGCGGAAACCCAAACGGAAGGAAUCUGAAAUUACACCACAGUUUCUAACCUAGUACUAAGGCCUUCUAGAAGAUAUCAGAAUAAGCCAGAUGUGGUCCCAGCUAUUUGGGAGGCUGAGGCCAGAGGAUCCCUUGAGCCCAGGUUUGGAACCAACCUGGGCAACACAGCAGGACCCUGAGACCCUGUGGAAUUAACAUCCCUUUUGUAAAGCUGAAGAUAUAUAUACAAGUGAUAUUCAUGGAAAAGGAAAGAACAAGCCUUCAUUUCUACUUAACUUACAAUAGCAUCUAAAUAUCCUUUCUUCUUAAUAAAAUACAAAAAAAUAAAAAUAAAAACUUUCACUGAAAACAUCCAGGUCAAAAUUUGACUGAAUCUAAAUGCACUUAAUAAAUGAGC